rnacentral:rRNA from 1 species
CCUCACUGCCAUAUAUCAGAAAUGUGGGGGCGCAUCAGGAAAGUGUGGGCCGGGAAAGGAAAGACCGGUGCAAGCGGAGGAGGGGACAUGCAGGCAAAUCCGCAUGUCAACCCAAGAGCGUUAUGCGGAGCGAAGAACAGUAGCGAAGCACACGGACAGGGUGCCGAGAAAAGCCGCUAUCGUGUAUAUGGUACCCGUACCGUAAACCGACACAGGUGGAUGAGGAGAGAAUCCUAAGGCCGGCGGGAGAAGCAUUGUUAAGGAACUCGGCAAAAUGGCCCCGUAACUUAGGGAUAAGGGGUGCCACAGUGAUGUGGCCGCAGAGAAUAGGCUCAAGCAACUGUUUAGCAAAAACACAGGUCUAUGCGAAACCGAGAGGUGAGGUAUAUGGGCUGACGCCAGCCCGGUGCUGGAAGGUUAAGAGGAGAGAUCAGGAAACGAAGCCUUGAAUUGAAGCCCCAGUAAACGGCGGCCGUAACGAUAACGGUCCUAAGGUAGCGAAAUUCCUUGUCGGGUAAGUUCCGACCCGCACGAAAGGCGUAAUGAUUUGAGCGCUGUCUCGACAAUGCACCCGGUGAAAUUGAAGUACCAGUGAAGAUGCUGGUUACCCGCGCCAGGACGGAAAGACCCCAUGGAGCUUUACUCCAGCUUGAUACUGGGAUCCGGUGUCCAAUGUACAGGAUAGGUGGGAGGCUGAGAGCCAUGAACGCAAGUUUAUGGGGAGCCGCUGUUGGGAUACCACCCUUUGGGUACUGGAUUUCUAACCUGCGCCCGUGACCCGGGCGGGGGACAAUGUCUGGCGGGGAGUUUGACUGGGGCGGUCGCCUCCGAAAGGGUAUCGGAGGCGCUCAAAGGUUCACUCAGAAUGGUCGGAAACCAUUCGGAGAGCGCAAAGGCAGAAGUGAGCCUGACUGUGACACCGACGGGUGGAACAGGUACGAAAGUAGGACUUAGUGAUCCGGUGGUAUAAAGUGGGAUUGCCAUCGCUCAACGGAUAAAAGCUACCCUGGGAUAACAGGCUGAUCACUCCCAAGAGUUCACAUCGACGGAGUGGUUUGGCACCUCGAUGUCGGCUCAUCGCAUCCUGGGGCUGUAGCAGGUCCCAAGGGUUGGGCUGUUCGCCCAUUAAAGCGGUACGCGAGCUGGGUUCAGAACGUCGUGAGGCAGUUCGGUCCCUAUCCGGCGCGGGCGGAGGAUAUCAGAGAGGAGCUGUCCUUAGUACGAGAGGACCGGGAUGGACGGACCGCUGGUGCAUCUGUUGGAUACCAGAUCCAUGGCAGAGUAGCCAAGUCCGGCAGGGAUAAACGCUGAAGGCAUCUAAGCGUGAAGCCCCCCUCAGGAUGAGAUAUCCCAUUCAUAGAGAAUGUAAGACCCCUUAGAGACUAUGAGGUAGAUAGGGCAUGGGUGUAAGUGCAGAGAUGCACUGAGCUGAAUGUCACUAAUAGGUCGAGGGCUUAUC